rnacentral:lncRNA from 1 species
AUUAGGGCUUCCUCGGGCUCCCCCUCGCGACGGUAAUUUGACACUUGGAUCUCCAGGACGACCAACAACAAAAAAGCCAGGCAGAGACAGCAGCGGGCUGUCAGCAGAGGAGCUGGGCUGAGGCGCCCAGGGGAGCAGCGGCGCCCACGAAGGAAGUACGAGGACAGCACGUGGAGGCUCCGCGCUGGGGCACUGCUGCUCAGCCCCCAACACCUGAGCUCCCAGAUCUCCCUCUGGUGAUGAGCCUUGAACACCAAACCAGGAACCUGGAGGACUGACUUUCAACUCAGGCUCAGGUGGGCAGAAGGUCACAGAAGCGAGGCUGGGAGGGACCACGCUGGCAACCGGGACCUCUGCUGUGCCACCGUGAUGCACAGGCUGACAUGACACCACCCCUAAGGAAGCAGGACCCGGCUGUUUGGUUCUUUGGGGAACACUGAGAGCAGCCCUCCUGGGCAGGGCCCGUGAGCCGAGGCUGCCUACUCCUCCUGCCUCCCUGUCCUCAAGCCAGCGUUAAAGCCACCACCCCCCAUAUGUUUUCCUCAAAGCAAACAAGCUGGCAUCUAGUGAGAAAGAAAAACAAUGACCCAGGGAAAUGUGGAAACCAAGGACUAGCCCAAGUGUUCUCAGCUCGGCAGAGGCUGGGGGCUUCGGCUGGGGCUGGUGUCUGGGGAGACAAGCUCCUGCGGUGUUGGGAGGCGCACAGUAGGGAAGAGUCAGGCCAGGUGGGGGUCGGGGCACAGCGGUGAGCCUGGAGACCCCAGUGGCUGUCACUCACAAGACGCCCCAGGCAGGCAGGUGGGGAUCCCUGUCCUGCAUCCACAGGACACGAGUGGACAGGGUCUCUCCAACACAGUCCCUGAACCAGGACGGAGGGCGAAUGAACAGCCAGCUUCUGUAGCUGCAGAAAGAGCGCCUACUGUUUCUAACCCUGUUUCCUGCCCUGGGUGGCUACAGGAGCAGGGCCUGCCAGGGGUUCAAGCACCACUUUCUACUUCCAGUUGGAGCCAGGGCAAAAAGGGGAGUCACCCAAAGGCUCAGUGCCACAAAUAGGGGCAUCCCUCCCGGCUGCUCAGGCACAGGACCCUGCAAAUCUCCCACAAGUGUCAGUUAUGCCUCCUUCUAGGUGGACCUCAAACGAGAUAAUGCCCAACAGGGCAAGGGUGACUAAAACCCACCAUGAUGAAACAACAGGGCAGAGCAAGCAGCCCUCUGGGGCCCCACGCUGCCAGCACACCUCGCUUAUCAGUCUCAAACACGCCGCCUGCUGCCAGCCCUUCCUCGUGAGGCGCCUGGGGUUGGAGUAUCAGCUCUGUGAGGAGGAAACAGGGAAGCUUCGGGACCAAGUGGCAGCUGUCUGGCCUGCGGGAUGCCUGCCUGUUGCAAGGCUCCAUGUGCCAGGAGAUGCCACAUAAAGGAAUGCUUCCCAUCCCUCCGGCUCUG